AAUAAGAUGCCUGAUAAAAGGGUUAUCUUGAUAGGAUAAAUUAUGUAAUUUACAUUUACUCUUAUUA
rnacentral:tRNA from 1 species